rnacentral:misc_RNA from 1 species
GAUGGAAUUAUGACAUUCAACUUGACAAUUGAUUCGUCACUAAUUAUCAUAUCGUAUUGUUCUAAUCUAUUUGUAACCAUCACGUUACAUGUACAAACCUUAUUGCGCCUAAAAAAGAAAUUUUGAAUUGAAUUUUUCAAAAAUAAUGUUUUUCUUCCAUAUUUGAGAUAAAUAUUUGAUCAGUUUUAACAAUAUUUCUUUUUCAAUAUUUCCUCAUUUUUAACGUGAAUUUUUCAUAUUCAUUUUGUGCUCCUGGAACUUUGAGUGUUUUUUUUUUUUUACAACAAAUUUUCGUAAAAAGAUCAGUUCUUUAACAAUAUAGACGACGAUUAUCUGCAAUAUAAAACCACGCCUCGUUUAAAUUUUUAUUCGAAUUUUUGUUUGUUUGUUUUUUGUGUACAUUUAUUGUUAAGUGUGAUUUAACAACACGUAAGUUGUUCUCUAAAUCAAGACAUAUUGACCUGUUGUAAGAUAUGUUAUGUGUGUGUCUUUUGACUGAUACCGAUAAAUACCAACCUAACUGAAUUGUAAUAUCAUUGAAACUCAAGUCUUUGACCAUUGUUCUAGUUAAUUUACAUGUAUAAGAUACAUAUUGUUACAUUUAGUAUAUUUCACCAGGAAGGGUCUGAUCAAUCUCUGAUCAGUCACAGAUCAUGUACAUACAGUUGCUUUUUCAUUUAAUGCAUUGUACAUGUAUCCUCAUGAUUUUUUUUUAUGGUUUUUUGUUUUUUACACAGUUCAUUCAUCUACCGUGUACAGAGGCAAAUAUUUUAAUAAAAAGGUUUCCAUU